AACGAACGCUGGCGGCAUGCCUAACACAUGCAAGUCGAACGAGACCUUCGGGUCUAGUGGCGCACGGGUGCGUAACGCGUGGGAACCUGCCCUUAGGUUCGGAAUAACUCCCCGAAAGGGGUGCUAAUACCGGAUAAUGUCUUCGGACCAAAGAUUUAUCGCCUUUGGAUGGGCCCGCGUUGGAUUAGCUAGUUGGUAGGGUAAAAGCCUACCAAGGCGACGAUCCAUAGCUGGUCUGAGAGGAUGAUCAGCCACACUGGAACUGAGACACGGCCCAGACUCCUACGGGAGGCAGCAGUAGGGAAUAUUGGACGAUGAGCGAAAGCCUGAUCCAGCAAUGCCGCGUGAGUGAUGAAGGCCUUAGGAUUGUAAAGCUCUUUUACCCGGGAUGAUAAUGACAGUACCGGGAGAAUAAGCUCCGGCUAACUCCGUG
rnacentral:rRNA from 1 species